GUACCCUUAGCUCAGUUGGUUAGAGCAGACGGCUCAUAACCGUCCGGUCGUAGGUUCGAGUCCUGCAGGGUACA
rnacentral:tRNA from 1 species